GAGAAGUCAUCGUCGUUCAUAGCCUUAAAUUUAGGCUAUGAACAAGGUGAGCAGUGUCGUUCUUAGUUUGAGCGUGAGCAGCGUGCCAUUGUUGUCCAUAUAGAGAGGGGAGUAGUCACUGUUAACGCUUGAGCUUGAGCAGCGUGCCACCGUGAUGGAGUAGCCGUGCCACCGUGAGAACGCAAACGGAGUCUCUACGAUUUUGCCCUAGGUUUUCAUCUCGAUUCCUUUCUUUCUGUGUUGUGUAAUUUUGUUAUUGAUUCCAACUCUUUCUCGUUUUUAGACAAUGAGAUAUUAGAGAAUUUGUUUCACCAUAUUCAGUUGAGUGAUUUCCACAUGCUUCAACCUUAAACACAUUCCAAAAACUUGAAAAACCCUUCCAAUAGCGCCCUGAAUUUCCAAAAUUUCCCAAAUUUCCCAAAUGCUGCCCUCAGAAACGAAACCACAAAUUUAAGAACAAGCUCCUACACUGAUAGUCGUGGUUCUUCUUUGGUUCUUUCUUCCAAUUUACAUGCUACUUGUGCUCGCGGUAACAGUUCAUUCUUCUGUAGUUUUUUCUUCUACAGUUCGUUUUUAUUUCGAUUUUCUCAUUGGUUAGGGUUCAUGGUGACCUAAGUAGAGUUGAUCAUUCUCUUGUAAUUGCUUUUGUCACUAUGUUUGGACUAAUAUGCAUAUCUCUAUAUAUCACACCAUGCAUCUAUGACCUCCCUGUACCUCAAAUCAACUCAUAUGUAAUCAUACUCCUUGCCUUUUCUCCAAUAAACAAUUUUGUAGACUCUAUUUGACUAUUUUUAUAAUUAUAUACAUAUAUAUUCCCAUGGACAAUAUAUAUUGUUAUGAGCGUGGACAAUGCAUACUGGUGUUGUUGCCAUUAAUCAAAUCAGUCUUUAAUAAGAUGUUUGGUUUGGUGGAGAAUUAGAUUUAAAUCGAAGUUGGUUUAUAUAAAGGAAAUAAAAAAAAUCGAAGUUGUUCCUACCGACCAUGUUGUUUUUCCCUGUUUCUUUUUUCUUUUAUAAAUUAUCAUUUUCCACAUUUUUUAAUCUACUUUUUCUUAAAAAAUACUCAAAACUGUAACAAUAUUUGUGUAUUGAAGUUGCUGAAAUUUGUAUCAUUCUUAUAGGUAACCUUUUUUCUUCCUUUCUCUCAUGUUUGUUCUGUUAAAGUUUUCAUGAUUUAUCUUGAGAAAUGAAGUUGCUUGCUAAGUGUUUGAGCUACAUUUCUAAGGUUGAAAUAUUGAGUACUAGUUGAUUUCUAAUGUACCCUUAAACAAUAUCCAUCAUAAUUUUAAAAUGAUAGGGCAAUUUGUGAUGCUUUACUUUUUUUAAUUUGUUUAUAGCAGUGUAUUUGUAAAGGAGCUAGUUAGUAUACUUUGAAUGUUUUGGAAGGAAAUUUUAUUGAAGUUUUUUAUCAAAUCUUUGGAGUCAUUAUUUAUGACAAUAAUCAUGCUCUUCCAGAGUCUGAAGAUGUAGAGUAACAGCUCUGAAGAUGUAGAGUAACAGCUGUGUUUUCAGGUGGAAAACAAAUAUGGCUUAACAGUUCUUAUUUGUUUGCAGAUCACAACCAUAAUCAAUUCAGAAUAGAAGAAUAGUGCUUUGAGGUGAGUGUUCAAACUAUUUUGUUAAAGAAAUCAGCAAAUGAAAUGUUAUGGUAAACAUUGAAAGCAAAGUUGAAAGUUGAAUGUUAUAAUAAAAGGGCAUUCUUUUCUUAUUUUAUUAUUAUUGAUAACAGUUCUUACACAGGACAAGUUAUUUUCUAUCAAAUAUUCUAACAAUACUAUACUGCUUAUAGGUCCAAACUAUCAAUUCUGUGUGAUGCUGAGGUUGCUCUCAGGUACCAUUAUUUCUCCUCCUUCAACUUUCCCUUUUCUUCUUCUUAAAUUAAUGUGUGAAUGCUUAUGCUUCCUGUAAUUUUAGCACCCCUCUUGCAACCAAGACUAGUUCCUUUAAUAUGUGACCUUGUAAAUUUCAUGCAUACCUAUAAAAUUUCACUUGUAAUGAUCCGUGUGAAAAGGUUAUUCAUAAUUUUGUGUAGGUUUAUGUGCAUGAUGUGACUACUGUUAGUUCCCUGGAAUAUAUGUAGCUGAAGGUAAUUGAGACUUUAUGAAAUUAUCAUUAAUUUAAAAUGUGUUAUCAAGGAUUGAAAUUGACCACAGUGUGCGUGUGACAAUUCCUAGAAAAGAAUUAUGAAUAAGAAAUGAGUGAAUGUUAAAGAAUAAAGAGGCAUAAUGUUAGCAGUAAUUAUCUAGUGUUGUGCAGGUUGUUAGAAUUCACAUAUUCAGAUAUUCAGAUAUUCAGAUAUAAAAUUAGAAUGAUUAGAAUUCACAUAUUCAGAUUGUUAGGUCUAAGUUAAUAUAACUGUUUCCAAAGGUAAUAAAAUGAUUAGCAGCUGCAGUUGAUGAGGGAAAUUGCAUCAUGUCUUUGCUAUUCUCAUCACUUUGCAUCAUGGAAAUUAGAGGUGUGCUAAAGGAGAAAAAUCUCAUUCUUAUUAUUCUCAUUCAUACCCUUUUACAGUAGUUUCUUAAUUUUAUUCUUUUCUUCACAUGUAUAAGUUUUAUCUUAAACUAUUCUUCUCCUUUUAUGCAUGAAACAUGUCUCCAAGUAACAUUAUUAUACUUUGUUUCAGAUCUAGAACAACCUAUUUGCUCGAUUACUGGUUUGCCUGCCAAGUAAGAUCUCUUUUAUCAACUUGGUAGUUCUUGCAUUUUUCUUUUCUAAUGUUGCAGUUCUUGGUUAAAAUUGUCUUUGGAUAGCUUGUAUUCUUGUUAUUUAUGUUAUUAGUACUUGAGUAUUUUUUUGGGAUGGGAAGUUUGGAUAUGCUUUCCUUGCAUAGAACAAUCGGUUUUAUGUUAUCUACUGUUAAGGAAUUCUUUAGUCUAUUUCCACUAUACCCACAUAUUGUUAAGGAAUUCUCUCUGGAAUAAUAUAGGUAUCGUGAUCCAAAGACUGGCCUGCCAUAUAACUCUUUUCCUUGUAUUAACUAAUUCUGUUUUAGUCCACUUAUUGCACAUCACUCAUAAUGCCAUUUGUAUGUACUUCAACCAUACUUUAUUUUUUUGGUCCAUAAUUGUUCUUUUGUGGGUUUGGAACUUGAUCUUGAGCAUUAUGUAUAUGCAGCUAACUUGACAGAGAAUCCAAGGUCACCGGUUAGUGGGUCUGGCAGCAAUUCAUCUCCCCAUCAAGGUUUUACUUUCAAAACUGCAUUCUGUAAUUAUGAUAAUUGACUAAUUAAAAACAUAAAUUGGUCCAUUGAUCCCUUUACUAAAUUUUUGCUGCUUACUUUCAACCUGUUCAUUUUUUCACCAUGAAUCCUCACUUUUUUUUGUAAUGUAUCUGCAAUUGGAUGUACAUAAGAAUUUAAUUGGUUCAAGAUUAAACAUGUCUUCUGCGCUUCGUAUUUUUAUAUUAGGUGAUAACAUGAUUGUACUUAUUCAUAAUAACUAAUUAGACUUACAGACAAGGUAAAGAAUCAUCAAAUUUUUUUCUACAGGUUUUAUUGCUAAUAAAUAUUUUAUGUAUUUUUUCUUAUUGUUUUCAUUUGUUUCUCAUUUUUUUUAG
rnacentral:lncRNA from 1 species